CAUAACUCCCUAUUGAAUUUUGCAGUAAUCGGACUGUAACUUCGUCUGUAAUGUAUCGAAAUGUGAAAAUCACGAAACUUCAUUAUCUUAGAAACUACACAACCGAUUUGAACAAUAUUGAUAUCAGAUGAACGGGCUAGUUAAGGGUUAACUGAUGAAUUAUGAUUGAACACGUGGUUUCAAAGUUUGGCUGCCCCAUACGUUACCUUUUCAUUUGAUUGUAAUCAAGCUUAAGCAAGCGUUAUGUUUUAAUUUGUAAAACAACGAAAGUCUAUUAUCUCAAGUACUACACGACUUAUUUGAACAUAACUAGUGUCAUACAAAUGAGUCAUCUCUCAAACUUACAAAUAACAAACUUCAUAACAAUUUGAUAUGCUGUUUAAAAGUUUUAGAAAGAACAGAAAUUCAAAGACUAUUCAACACUUUACCUGCUUCGAUCAAUAUAUAUGGCCUCAACAUGAUUUAGAUGUGGUAUCGUACUAUCUGAACGUUCCCGGCAUCGCUCGUGAUUAAAUUGUUCGAAAUUAAGAGUCAUUGCUUUUAUUUCGCUAUUUCUUAAGUACUAACAUUACGUCAAAUUUCAUAUUUUAUACUUUAAUUACAACAUCAAUAUUUUAGAACCCAAAGAGUGGAUAAACAUUUAUUGGAUUUAAGCAUUCAUGUAAAUCUAUUUUUACAAAUAAUAAGUUUGAAUGAGAAAGGCUGAGUCUGACCGCUAGGUGGAUUAAUUUAGGUUUUUUUGAUAAACAUUGAUAGUUAAAGUAUGCAUAAAACACAAGAUAAUCGUGCCUAUCUAAAAUUUCCCUUUUAAAAAUGAAAUUUGUUUGGCGAAAUAUGCAAUUGGAACCAAAUUUACAAACUCCGAUGCAAAAACAUAAGCGGGUCAUGGACCUGAAUGAUGCAUUAAAAGUUGACUAUUUACAUUUUGUAGGCAACUUGAGCAGCAUUUUUAGGCAGUUUAUUCUGCUAAAAUUUGUGAUAAGUAGAAGGGUGACAAAGUGUGAGCCGACAGACAUGGAUAGUGAUGCGGCAGGAGUAAUUUUGCGAAGCACGACCAACUGAGCUCGUUCCUUUGAAGUAAAUUAGUCCAUUAAAAGACGGUCGCCGAUAAGAAAAUCAGCCUGGUCUACAAGCGGCAUAAACUGCAGAACAAGCCGCUACUGAAGCAUCGUAUCAUGCAGAACAUCAUCAAUGGCAAACGUACUGACGGGACUUGCGUCAGGCCGCCCUGCAUAGUGCUGAUGUUAUGCGAUUCCAGCGACUGGCGACGGCCUAUAAGAACAGGACUGGUGGUUCCACUGUCUACGAAAGUGCAGGUGCCACUUCCCAAAAAGGUCUAGUGAGCAAAGGUGGACGAUGGAUUUGUAAUUGUGGUGAAUAGGGCCCAAAUGCAGAUAUUUAGUUGGCUCGACUAGGCCAUGUAUUUCAAAUGAGCUGAGCUGCUCGUCGAAGCUUUCGUAAUACAGCCCUAUGAUGUGGGAAUUUUCGUCAUGCAGUAUAAAAUUAGAAGAUGAAAAAUAAAAUAAUUGUUAAACCCUACUAUUCGCAA